AGUCGAGCGGGGAUAGGUGCUUGCACCUGAUUCCUAGCGGCGGACGGGUGAGUAAUGUUUAGGAAUCUGCCUAUUAGUGGGGGACAACAUUCCGAAAGGGAUGCUAAUACCGCAUACGCCCUACGGGGGAAAGCAGGGGAUCUUCGGACCUUGCGCUAAUAGAUGAGCCUAAGUCGGAUUAGCUAGUUGGUGGGGUAAAGGCCUACCAAGGCGACGAUCUGUAGCGGGUCUGAGAGGAUGAUCCGCCACACUGGGACUGAGACACGGCCCAGACUCCUACGGGAGGCAGCAGUGGGGAAUAUUGGACAAUGGGGGGAACCCUGAUCCAGCCAUGCCGCGUGUGUGAAGAAGGCCUUUUGGUUGUAAAGCACUUUAAGCGAGGAGGAGGCGCUCUAGGAUAAUACCCUAGAUGCGUGGACGUUACUCGCAGAAUAAGCACCGGCUAACUCUGUGCCAGCAGCCGCGGUAAUACAGAGGGUGCAAGCGUUAAUCGGAUUUACUGGGCGUAAAGCGCGCGUAGGUGGCUAAUUAAGUCAAAUGUGAAAUCCCCGAGCUUAACUUGGGAAUUGCAUUCGAUACUGGUUAGCUAGAGUAUGGGAGAGGAUGGUAGAAUUCCAGGUGUAGCGGUGAAAUGCGUAGAGAUCUGGAGGAAUACCGAUGGCGAAUGCAGCCAUCUGGCCUAAUACUGACACUGAGGUGCGAAAGCAUGGGGAGCAAACAGGAUUAGAUACCCUGGUAGUCCAUGCCGUAAACGAUGUCUACUA
rnacentral:rRNA from 1 species